rnacentral:rRNA from 1 species
UGGAGAAGUUUGAUCCUGGCUCAGAUUCAACGCCGGCGGCAUGCCUUACACAUGCAAGUCGAACGGUAACAGGUCUUCGGAUGCUGACGAGUGGCGAACGGGUGAGUAAUACAUCGGAACGUGCCUAGUAGUGGGGGAUAACUACUCGAAAGAGUGGCUAAUACCGCAUGAGAUCUACGGAUGAAAGCAGGGGAUCGCAAGACCUUGUGCUACAUAGAGCGGCUGAUGGCAGAUUAGGUAGAUUGGUGGGAUAAAAGCUUACCAAGCCGACGAUCUGUAGCUGGUCUGAGAGGACGAUCAGCCACACUGGGACUGAGACACGGCCCAGACUCCUACGGGAGGCAGCAGUGGGGAAUUUUGGACAAUGGGCGAAAGCCUGAUCCAGCAAUGCCGCGUGCAGGAUGAAGGCCUUCAGGGUUGUAAACUGCUUUUGUACGGAACGAAAAGCUCCGGGUUCAAUACCCUGAAGACAUGACGGUACCGUAAGAACAAGCACCGGCGAACUACGUGCCAGCAGCCGCGGUA